rfam:Colletotrichum gloeosporioides Nara gc5 unplaced genomic scaffold scaffold403, whole genome shotgun sequence.
GGACCCAUGGCGCAAUGGUAGCGCGUUCGACUCCAGCGAGACAUCGAAAGGUUAUCCGUUCAAAUCGGGUUGGGUUCA